GAUGAACGCUGGCGGCGUGCUUAACACAUGCAAGUCGAACGGAAAGGCCCAAGCUUGCUUGGGUACUCGAGUGGCGAACGGGUGAGUAACACGUGGGUGAUCUGCCCUGCACUUCGGGAUAAGCCUGGGAAACUGGGUCUAAUACCGGAUAGGACCACUUCUUGGAUGUUGUGGUGGAAAGUUUUUUCGGUGUGGGAUGAGCUCGCGGCCUAUCAGCUUGUUGGUGGGGUAAUGGCCUACCAAGGCGUCGACGGGUAGCCGGCCUGAGAGGGUGUACGGCCACAUUGGGACUGAGAUACGGCCCAGACUCCUACGGGAGGCAGCAGGGGGGAAUAUUGCACAAUGGGCGCAAGCCUGAUGCAGCGACGCCGCGUGGGGGAUGACGGCCUUCGGGUUGGAAACUCCUUUCGCUAGGGACGAAGCGUUUUGUGACGGUACCUGGAGAAGAAGCACCGGCUAACUACGUG
rnacentral:rRNA from 1 species